UACGGAGGGAGCUAGCGUUGUUCGGAAUUACUGGGCGUAAAGCGCACGUAGGCGGCUUUGUAAGUUAGAGGUGAAAGCCUGGGGCUCAACCCCAGAAUUGCCUUUAAGACUGCAUCGCUUGAAUCCAGGAGAGGUGAGUGGAAUUCCGAGUGUAGAGGUGAAAUUCGUAGAUAUUCGGAGGAACACCAGUGGCGAAGGCGGCUCACUGGACUGGUAUUGACGCUGAGGUGCGAAAGCGUGGGGAGCAAACAGG
rnacentral:rRNA from 1 species